GAAAGAUUGGAAGCUAGGAAGACACCGGAGGAAGAAGGAGAUCAGUGCGCCAAAGAAGGAAGACGUGAGCUCGUGAAAAGGAGUACGGAAUGUGCUGAUAUUUAAGGACGGUCUGAGAAGGGGUAAAAGUGGGAUUUUUACCGCGUCGUCGGUUCAAUUUUUUCGGGAGGAGUGGUUGUCAUGGGCGCCCGUUUCGAAAAGAUUGCAAUCAUCAGGCAGAAGAUCGCGAAACGGAAGGGUAUUUUCAAUGCGUUUGUUUCGGAAGGGAAGUUGAAAGGAAUUUCAAAGUAAAGAUUAUGUUUUACUCCGAAACUGGGAGGUAUGUGUUGACGCCAGAUUUUGACACAUAUGGGAGCGGCGUCAAGUGGGGAAAGAAUCAGUUGAUGUGGCGAGGCAUAGAGGUCACGAUUGGGAAUCAGCCGAUUGGUGCUACAGUUGGAGAUCGGCCGAUUGGUGCUGCAAUGUUUCGGCGAAGAGAGUUGAUGGAAAUCGGUCGAUCGACAGGCUGGAAUAGUUGGGCCAAUAUGGGCUCAGAGUGGGUUAGGAGGAUAAAAGGGGUCAGCCCAUAGAAUACAGCGGUCAAUUCCGAUACGAGUCAUACUUGUAAAUAUUCAUUUUCAUUUAAAGUUAGAGAUAGAGUCCUAGUCGGUUAAGAGAUUGGUUGUAACAGGCUAUAAAUAGCCACCUUCAUAGAUCUGUAAAAAAAAUCAUCAAAUCAAUACAACAACCUACUAUUUCCUCGCACUUUACUUUCAAGCAGGCGACUUCGCCAAUACUUUUCUUCUUUUCACGAGUUCGUACGGGUUGGCGGGGUUGCAUCAACUUGAUCUCCGGCUGAUUUUGUAAGUUCC
rnacentral:lncRNA from 1 species